rnacentral:snRNA from 1 species
UGACUUUUCACCAAUCAAUAAAA